rnacentral:rRNA from 1 species
CUACACGGAGUUACAAAGGAACGAGGUAAAUGAACAGGUCUGGAAAGGCCGGCCAGAGAAGGUAAAAGCCCUGUAGUUGAAACUUCGUUCCCUCCAGAGUGGAUCCUGAGUACGGCGGGACACGAGAAAUCCCGUCGGAAGCAGGGAGGACCAUCUCCCAAGGCUAAAUACUCCCUAGUGACCGAUAGUGAACCAGUACCGUGAGGGAAAGGUGAAAAGCACCCCGGAAGGGGAGUGAAAGAGAUCCUGAAACCGUGUGCCUACAAGUAGUUAGAGCCCGUUAAUGGGUGAUAG